GAAGGAUCGGAGGACAGUGGCGGAAGGGUGAGUACAACAUGGGUAAUCUAUCUUCAAGUUGGGUAUAACUCCUCGAAAGGGGAGAUAAUCCCGAAUGUGGUGAUCCGGCGCAUGCCGGAGAAUCUAAAGGCGGGGACCGCAAGGCCUGUCGCUUGGAGCUGAGCCCGUGCACUAUCAGCUAGUUGGUGAGGUAAUGGCUCACCAAGGCUAUGACGGUUAGCUGGUCUGAGAGGAUGGUCAGCCACACUGGGACUGAGAUACUGCCCAGACUCCUACGGGAGGCUGCAGUCGAGAAUCAUUCGCAAUGGGCGAAAGCCUGACGGAGCGACGUCGCGUGGAGGAUGAAGGUCUUCGGAUUGCAAACUCCUGUCAUGUGGGAUAAAUGGCCGGGGCCCGAAUAGGGUCGCGGAAUGAUAGUACCACAGGAGGAAGAGACGGCUAACUCUGUGCCA
rnacentral:rRNA from 1 species